AUGGUACGUAGGUGUAUUAGGAAAGUCCAGAAGAAUAGAACCUAGAUAGAUAGAUAUAUAUGUAUUUCUUUUUCCACAUUAGCAACUGGCUGUCACAAUUAUGGGAGCUGAAAGGUCCCACGAUCUACCAUCUACAAGAUGGACACCCAAGAAGGACACUGGUGUGACCCCAUCGGAGUCUGAAAGCCUAAGAACCAGGUAUUUAUGGCGUGUCUUCUAUGCGAGGGGCACUGGGUUUGGCGCUGGGGGCAGAAUGACAAGGGGCAUGAACAACAUCGAGUCCCAUGAAGCCUGUCAUCUAC
rnacentral:lncRNA from 1 species